GCAACACACCCUGUGCCCCCAUCCCUGUGCCCCCAGUGACCUUCUUUGGGGGAUAAACGCCCCCUGUGCCCCCAGUGACCCUUUUUGGGGGGCAACGCACCCCAUGACCCCACAGAUCUUUUUUGGGGGCCCAACACACCCCUAUGCCCCCACCGACCUUCUCUGGAGGACAGUGCACCCCUGUGCCCCCAUCCCUGUGCCCCCACGGGACCCUCUUUGGGGGGCAACACACCCCUGUGCCCCCAAUGACCCUUUUUGGGGGCCCAACACACCCCUGUGCCCCCACUGACCCUCUUUGGGGGGCAAAGCACCCCUCACCCCUGUGCCCCCAGUGACCCUCUCUGGGGGCAGUGCCCCCCCCCGUGCCCUGGCUUUGGGGGGACAGGGCUGGUUCAUCUCGCUGUCCCUUCUCCUGCCCCGGAUCCCUGUUCCUGCCCGGGCUGGGGGGGUGGGAUGGGACCCCCUCUCUCCUCAAAUCCACGAUUUCCCUUCCCAGCCAAGUGGGUUCUUGCCCAUCCCUUGGUCUCAGCCGGGCUCGGGCCCCUCUCCUUGGGCUGUGCUGCCCAUCCCAGUCCUGCCGCUCCCGGCUCCCAUCCCACACCCCUGAUCCAUGGGAUCCGUGUCUGUCCCACCCCGGCCCUGGGGGGGGGGGGCACAGGGCAGUUCCCCCCGUCUCCUUGGGAGCCCGAGGGAAGCCUGGAAUCCUCUGGAAUCCUCUGGAAUCCUGGGGGCCCUUCCCGCUGCCCCCUCCCCGCUGGGACCGGGGUCUCAUCCCAGCUCCCGCUCAGGUGGAUCCGGACGUGUUCUGUCAGCUGGGACAACUUGCUACAUCUCUUUUUUUUUGUUUUGUUUUAGUUUUUGUUUUGGUUUUUUUUGGUAAUGGUUUCUCCUGGUUUUUAGGGGAAAACAAACAAAAAAAAAAGAUGACCCACAAUUCUUGACUUGUAUCUCUGAAUGGAAAUAUUAAAUGUUCUCUUCUUUCUAA